GAAGCAACAUGUGACUCUCUGGACCUGAACUGAACCACUUUCCCAUUGGUUUUCACGAUGUCACUUUCCUCCCACCUCUCUGGUGUCACCUCCUCAGUGUCUUUCCUGAGUCUUUUUCCUGUACUAAUUUUCUGUUGAAAAUUGUUAUUUUUCAGGUUCUACUAUUUCUCUAAGUGGCAGCAUUCAUUUCUAUAACUUUAAAAAUUGUUUGUCUGCUAAAGAUCAACUAUUUUGUAUUUUUACACUUGGAUUCACCUCAAUAACAUAUAAUACCAACUGUAAACAAAAGUGGGUAUUGUGGAUUCAAAUGGUGUUAUGAAUCUUAUAUAUCAUCUCCAAGAACCCAUUUCCACUCCUGUUGGAUCUACACUCAUUGCAACUUCUCUCCUCUUACUAACAAUUUUGAAGCAAAUUUCAAAUAUUAUUGUAUUUCAUUAGUAAAGAUUUUAGCAGCCUAUCUUAGCAAUAAAACAUUUUUAAAAACUCACAAUACUAUUGACUCACCUAAAUAACUGAACAUUAAUUCUUUAAAUGUCAUAAAAUAUUAGUUAAUAUGGUUGGAAACAAAAGAAGUGUAUUGUAUUCUGAAGUAGAGUGAGAAUUCACUCACCAUCACGAGAACGGAACUGAGGACACUGUCUUCAUGAUUCACUUACCUCCACUUGAUCUCUCCUGUGACACAUGGUGACUAUGAGGAUUAGAAUUCAAGAUGAGAUUUGGUA
rnacentral:lncRNA from 13 species